AAGCUGACAGAGCUCAACCAGAAGAUGGAGACAGCCAUGUUCAAGAUUCUCCAACAUGGAAUAGCAGCAAGGCCUGUACCUUUGCCCCGCUACUCUGGAUUACUGACCUCUGCCUGACCUGACUCUGAGCCUGCCUGCCGUCCUUACCUUUGACUGCCUGUGUUCGAUUUAAUAAACUUUUGUUAUUUCGACAUUGUCUUCACCUGGGUCUUACCUUGUAAAUUAUGUUCUCCGCGACAUGUUGAACUGGUUCAUCUUUGUCUACAUUGAUGACAUCCUCGUCUUCUCCCGCUCCCCCCAAGAACAUGUGAUCCUAGUCCGACAGGUUCUUCAACAACUCCUGGAGAACCAGCUGUUUGUUAAGGCAGAGAAGUGCGAGUUCCAUCACUCCACCAUCCCCUUUCAGGGGUGCAUCAUCUCUGCUGGGAGUGUCCAGAUGGAUCACAGGGAGGGGAGAGUGGUGGUGGACUGGCCCCAGCCUUCGUCCAGGGUGCAGCUGCAACGAUUCCUGGGGUUUGCCAACUUCUAUCGCCGCUUUAUCCGGGGUUACAGCACCCUGGCUUCCCCCUUGUCAGCACUCCCCUCUCCCAAGGUUUUGUUCACAUGGUCCUCUGCUGCUGAGCGGGCCUAAAACAUCGCUUCACCACUGUUCCCAUCCUGGUUCAACCUUCCCGUCAGUUCGUGGUAGAGGCCAAUGCGUCUGAUGUAGGAGUGGGGGCAGUCCUGUCCCUUGUGAAACUGAGGAAGUGAGGAGGAAGGGAAAGGAGAACCUAAAGGAGAGUGAGAAAAAAGAGAAGAAGGAGAGGGAGAAAACCUCUGAGUGAUAAUGAGGGUGAUGAGGAGGAGAGACUGGUGUUAAACAACAAAGACAAUUCAUAGAACAGGAGUUAAAGAACAAACAGCAGAUCCUCAAGAAAUUGCAGCAGAAGGCAAAAGCAGGGAAGAAAGGGCAAAAAGACAGAACAGGUGAUAAUGGGAAAGGAGGAGAAAGGGUGUUGGGAGAAACAGAGAAUGAGGGAUAAAGAGAGGGAGAAAAUAUAAGAUAAUGAUAGUGUGGGAAAAGGAGGAGGAAAAGAAGCAAGUGCAGUAGGAGGCAAAAAAGAGAGCUGAGGAGAAAAAAACGAUUGAAUGAGAAGAAGGAAGAGGCAGAAGAAAAUAAGGAAGCAACAAUUAAAAGAAAAAAGGCAGGAGGCGAAAAUGGCAAAGAGGGAGAAGAGAAAAUUAGAAUAUUGUGAGGGCCAUGAAAUAAGACUCAUCCUUUGAAAACCUCAAUUUCCAACCAAUCGCUUUCCCUUGCCAAUCAGCAAAGGCGGGGCAUACAUCUGAUUCAUGUUCAUCCUAAUUUCUGCAAUCACUUUUGUUAUCAACCCUUCCUUAAUGAAUUACUCCAAUCAGCAUCCCGAUCCUCAAUAAAUAGUCAAAGGCAUUCAGUCCCUGUGUCUUAACUGAUGUACAACUCCCAAUUUAUUGAAUAUGAACCAACCUAGAACCUUGAAUGCAUCUAAAAAUGUAGAUCUAAAACACAUCAGUACAACUUCCACAGGGAGGCAGCAGAGAGCAGCAGUAAAUAGAGCCAGAUACUGUGAACAGAUCUACACACAGUACAGUAUGAACAUGGUCAAAGGAAUUUGGUAGAAUCAUUUAUAUUUCCUCUGCAGACCUACAGUGGGUAUCAUAAGUAUUCAUCCCCUUUAGAUUUUUUAAAUGUUGUUGUGUUUCAAAGUGGGAUUGAAAUAGAUGUAAUGGUGAUCUACACAAGAUACUCUAUAAUGUCAAAGUGAAAAUACAAUUAUACAAAUGUUUACAAAUUAAAUAACUAAAAUCUAGUUGUUGCAUAAGUAUUCACCCCCUUUGUUUAGGCAAGCGUAAAUUAGUUCAGGAGUCCAUUUAGGCUUAACAAGUCACAUAAUAAGUUGCAUGGACUCAAUAAUAGUGUUUAACAUUAUUUUUGAAUGACUACCUCAUCCCUGUACCCCACACAUACAAAAAAUCUCUCAGUUGAGCAGUGAAUUUCAAACACAGAUUCAACCACAAAGACCAGAGAGGUUUUCCAAUGCUUCACAAAGAAGGGCACCUAUUGGUAGAUGGGUAAAACAAAAGCAGAUAUUGAAUAUCCCUUUGAG
ensembl:lncRNA